GGCAUGGUGUAGUGGUUUGAAAUUAGACUACAACUCUGCAUACUAGGGUUCAAUUCCCUUCUCAGCCA